rnacentral:rRNA from 1 species
UACGUAGGUGGCAAGCGUUAUCCGGAUUUACUGGGUGUAAAGGGCGUGUAGGCGGGAGUGCAAGUCAGAUGUGAAAACUAUGGGCUCAACCCAUAGCCUGCAUUUGAAACUGUACUUCUUGAGUGCUGGAGAGGCAGUCGGAAUUCCGUGUGUAGCGGUGAAAUGCGUAGAUAUACGGAGGAACACCAGUGGCGAAGGCGGAUUGCUGGACAGUAACUGACGCUGAGGCGCGAAAGCGUGGGGAGCAAACAGG